AUUGGGAGCUGAUACUUUUUGUGGUCACAUUUUGCAAGAUCUGUGUUUGGAGGGUGCACGCGGGAGGUUUUACGAGUCUAUGGUAGGGAUAUCUUUGCGAGCAUUAUCUACAAAUUGAAAUAAGAAACCUGGCCGGAUUAGUAAACAAUGAUACCUGACAUUGCUCUAGGCGGGCCAUGAGGAUGUGAGAUGUAAACAGUCAUAACUUCUGUCCGAAAGGGUUGAGGUACUACUUUUAGAAAGGAUAGAAUGUGGAUUCGUGAACCAAAUAAUUUUGUACAGUAUUAGACUAAGAUAAUAUUAAUGAUAGUAUAGGUCCUAGAUUGAAAUAUCAUGGUCUACAUAAAUCAAACGUAUUGUAACCCUAGUCACAAUAUUA